rnacentral:rRNA from 1 species
UACGUAGGGUGCAAGCGUUAAUCGGAAUUACUGGGCGUAAAGCGUGCGCAGGCGGUUAUGCAAGACAGAUGUGAAAUCCCCGGGCUCAACCUGGGAACUGCAUUUGUGACUGCAUGGCUAGAGUGCGGCAGAGGGGGGUGGAAUUCCGCGUGUAGCAGUGAAAUGCGUAGAUAUGCGGAGGAACACCGAUGGCGAAGGCAAUCCCCUGGGCCUGCACUGACGCUCAUGCACGAAAGCGUGGGGAGCAAACAGG